GGGAAAGCAUUCAACAUUUUAACAGUUAAGUAUGGUAAGAACUGAAGUUUGGUGAAGCACUUUUAUCAUUAAUGGGUAUUGAAAUGUGUCAGUUAUUUUUUCAACAUCAAUUUUUUAUCACAAGUGCUUUGUUUUUAAGGCUGAUAAUAUGGUGAUUUACAAUAAUUGGUUGUCAGAUGUUAAACCGAUCUUGCUUUACUGGGGUAAAUACUAACUGGUCAUUUUGUGUUUGCCUUUUUGUGUGUUGUGGGAUUAAAUCUGCCAUAAUUUUGUUAAAAAUUUUUGCCUCUAUGCUCUAAGGGACAUUGGUUUGUAAUUUUCUUUUUAUGUAAUAGUCUUUGUUAGGUUUUGGUAUCAAGAUGAUGUCGGCUUCAUAAACUGUUUUGGGAAGUGUUUCUUUUUCCUCUAUUUUCUGAAGAACUAUAUAUAAGACUGUUGUUAUUUUUUGUCAGAAAUUUGGUAGGAUUCACCAGUGAAACUACAUGAACAUGAUGUUUCCUGGUUAGAGGGAUUUUGAUAAAAAUAACUUAAUAUAUAUUAAAUAACAUUAAGAUAUUAAGAUAUUGACUUGUAUUUUCCAAAAAAUUUACUUGUUUCAUGUCAUUGGUGUAAAGUUAUUCAAAAUGAUAAAUUUUUUUUUGUAUUUUUUUCUUUAGUAAGAAAUUUAUCAAUUUUCUUUAUUUCUUCAAAGAACUACCUUUUGGUCUUGUGAAUUUUCUGUAGUGUUUGCCUAUUUUCUAUUUUGUUGAUUUCUGCUCUUUAUUUUCCUUUCCUUCUAAUCUGUUUAGACUUGUUCUUUUCCUAGAUUCAUGAUGAGAACCUUAAUUCACUGAUUAGUAUGUGUUCCUUCUUUUCUCAUAUGACUAUUUAAAGCUAAAAUUUCUAAGUACUUCUUUAGCUGCAUCACACAAAUUUUUGUAUUGGAUUAUCAUUAAUUUUCCAAUAGUUCCUAAUUUUUUUUUCUUUUUAUGGCCCUACAUGUGGCAUAUGGAAGUUCCUAGGCUAGGGGUCGAAUUGGAGCUGCAACUGCAGCCUAGCCACAGUCACAGCAAUCUCAGAUCUGAGCUGCAUCUGCAGCCUAUACUAUAGCUUAUGGCAAUGCCAAAUCCUUAACCCACUGAGCCAGGCCAGGGAUCAAACCUGCACCCUCACAGAGACAACAUCAAUACCUUAACUUGCUGAUCCACAAUGGGAACUCCUCUAAUUAGUUUUUGAUUUUUCAUUUGACCUAUAGAUUAUUUAGAAAUACGUUAUUUAAUUUCCAAACUUUUAAUGAAUUUUUGUCUAGUUGUUCUAUCAUUUGAUGAAAAAGGGCUGUUAAAAUUAUCCACUAUAGGAGCUCCCUUUGUGGCCCAGCAGGUUAAGGAUCUGGUAUUGUCUCUGCAGUGAUAUAGGUUUGAUCCCUGGCCCAGUGCAGUGGGUUAAAGAUCCGGCGUUGCCACAGCUGGGGCUCAGAUUUGAUCCCUGGCUGGGGAUCUUCCAUAUGCCAUGGGUGUGGCUGAAAAAGACAAAAGAAAAAAUUUUUCCACUAUAACUGGGAAUUGUCUAUUUUCCCUUUAGUUUUAUCAAUUUAGUUUUCAUGUCUUUUGAGAUGCUGUUAUUAAAUACAGAUGCAUUUUUGAUUUUUACAUCUUCCCUAUUUCCUCUUUAGAUCUGUUAAUACUCUUUUCCUUAAAAUCUAUUUUAUCUGAUAUUAGUAUAGCCCCCUUCUUAUGCAUAAUGCUUGCACAGUAUAUCUUAAUUCUACCCAUUUGUUUUCAACCUAUCUUUGCCAUUAUAUUUAACAUGUGUCUCUUGUGAAUAGCACAUAAUUGAGCCUUGAUUUCUUCAUUUAUUCUGAUGAUCUCGACCUUUUAACUGGAAUGGUUUAGUCUAUUAAUAUUUAAUGUUAUUGAUAUGGCUGUAUUUACAUCUGCUAUUUUGUUGUUUUUUCAUUACUUAUCUUGUUUUUAUCCCUCUUAAAAGACUGCUGCAUGCUUUCUGAAAAGAAAUUCGUUUUAGUUUUCUUGUAUACAGCAUGUACAAGAUAUAGAUAUCUUUGAAUUUUGUUUUUUCCUGAAGGUUAUCGUUAUUAUCUUCAGGAGGGACAGUUUGUUACAUGCUUACUCCUCCAUGUAGGAAGUGGGAACUUAUGGUGAAAUUAAAACAGUUUGGCCAUUCUUAAUUGUCAGAGUUCAUUGGUAGCUUCCAGGAAUUGGGUAGGGCAAACCCAUAAGCUUAUUUUCAAUUCUAUAUUUCAAUGAAAAUAAGUUGCAUACCAAAUUCAGUCAAUGAACAAACACUCAUUAACAAGCAUGCACCCAUUCUUGAUGAAAUUCCAGCUUUCUGUCCUUUAGGUAUUUAGACAAGAACCUUGCAUGAAUAGUUUACUUCAGGCAGUUGUUGUAAUCAGGUGCAAUUCCAUUAAUCUUCUAGUUGGAUUUGGUGACAAGGGUUUUCUGUGAAGGGGUGGGAUAUGUAACAGAAAAGAUCCUUAGGCACAGAGCACACUUUUGAAGAGUACUAGAGUGCUGUGCUCACCAGUAAUGACAGUAUAAGAAUGGAGGUGCCAUUACAAUAUUUCCAGCCAAUCUGCAUGUAUUAACCAGCACUAAAUUAACCACAAAAACUUAUUUCUAAUGCCCCUUAAGCUAAUGAACCAAACCUCUUAUUUAAUUUAAGAAAAUGAUAGUUCAUCCUGAUUAGAGCCUUUCAAAACCAACUGCAGAUAUUGUGCAUCCUUGAUUAGGGCACUUCAAAUAUUAAUUAACUCCUCCUAAGGGUAUAGAUUAAAACUAAGUCACUUGUGUAUGUCACGCUAUCUGUACUGAAAUAUUUUAAUAUAAAUUAUAGACAACAUAAAAAGCAUGCAGUGGCAGAGUCCCUCUUCCCCUGUUAUUGUAUCCUUUUUUUAAAAAUUUUUAAAAAUUGUUAUUUUCCCAGUACAAUUUUCUUUUCUACUGUAUAGCAUGGUGACCCAGUUAAACAUACAUGUAUACAUUCUAUUUUCUCACAUUAUCAUGCUCCAUCAUAAGUGACUAGACAUAGUUCCCAGUGCUACACAGCAGGAUCUCUUUGAUAAUCCAUUCCAAAGGCAAUAGUUUGUAUCCGUUAACCCCAAGCUCCCAAUCCAUCCCACUCUCUCCCCCUCGGCAACCACAAGUCUAUUCUCCAAGUCCAUGAUUUUCUUUUCUGUGGAAAGGUAUGUUUGUGCCAUAUAUUAGAGUCCAGAUGUAAGCGAUAUCAUAUGGUAUUUGUCUUUCUCUUUCUGACUGACUUCACUCAGUAUGAGAGUCUCUAGUUCCAUCCAUGUUGCUGCAAAUGGCAUAGAAAUAUGUCAAAUAAUAUGUAUUACUGAAUCCUUAUUGAUGAAGUUUCCUAGUUCUUCUUUGCUGUCCUGGUUAAUUCCCACUCUCUACCCCCAUCCC
rnacentral:lncRNA from 1 species